GAAAAUCCGUCGACUUUAAAAAUCGUGAGGGUUCAAGUCCC
rnacentral:tRNA from 3 species